UACGUAGGGUGCGAGCGUUAAUCGGAAUUACUGGGCGUAAAGCGUGCGCAGGCGGUUCGCUAAGUCUGAUGUGAAAGCCCCGGGCUCAACCUGGGAACUGCAUUGGAAACUGGCGAGCUUGAGUGUGGCAGAGGGGGGUGGAAUUCCACGUGUAGCAGUGAAAUGCGUAGAGAUGUGGAGGAACACCGAUGGCGAAGGCAGCCCCCUGGGUCAAGACUGACGCUCAUGCACGAAAGCGUGGGGAGCAAACAGG
rnacentral:rRNA from 1 species